rnacentral:misc_RNA from 1 species
GAUGAAGAACGUAGCGAAAUGCGAUAAGUAAUGUGAAUUGCAGAAUUCAGUGAAUCAUCGAAUCUUUGAACGCACCUUGCACUCCUUGGUAUUCCGAGGAGUAAGCCUGUUCGAGUGUUAUGAAGCUCUCAAAACGCAAUUGGCUUAAAACCUGAUUGUUGUUUUGGAUUUGAACUUUGCCGUGUUAUAACGGCUGGUUUUAAAAGUAUUAGCUGGUACUAGAACGAAUUGGUUCUACUCAGCGUGAUAAUUAGCUGAUCGUUGAGGACAUUCCUUUCACGAGGAAUGGCCAUAGUAAAUUCAAUGGACUGCUUCUAAUCUGGCUUUAAUUCUUUAUUGGAUUAACCACUUUUCAAAUCUGACCUCGAAUCAGGUGGGACUACCCGCUGAACUUAGCAUAUCAAUAAGCGGAGGA